CCCACUUUUCUCAGUAAACUCUACCUUGUCCAUGAAUAGAUCUCAGAUUAAUAGUAGAGAAAGAGGUGCAAAAAAUAAAUCCUCUUUUGCAACCCAGAACUCAUUGUUUGGUUUGAGUUUUGAUACAUUAAAGAAGGAAUAUU
rnacentral:snoRNA from 1 species